AGUGAACGCUGGCGGUAGGCCUAACACAUGCAAGUCGAACGGCAGCACAGUAAGAGCUUGCUCUUACGGGUGGCGAGUGGCGGACGGGUGAGGAAUACAUCGGAAUCUACUUUUUCGUGGGGGAUAACGUAGGGAAACUUACGCUAAUACCGCAUACGACCUACGGGUGAAAGCAGGGGAUCUUGGACCUUGCGCGAUUGAAUGAGCCGAUGUCGGAUUAGCUAGUUGGCGGGGUAAAGGCCCACCAAGGCGACGAUCCGUAGCUGGUCUGAGAGGAUGAUCAGCCACACUGGAACUGAGACACGGUCCAGACUCCUACGGGAGGCAGCAGUGGGGAAUAUUGGACAAUGGGCGCAAGCCUGAUCCAGCCAUACCGCGUGGGUGAAGAAGGCCUUCGGGUUGUAAAGCCCUUUUGUUGGGAAAGAAAAGCAGCAGGUUAAUACCCCGCUGUUCUGACGGUACCCAAAGAAUAAGCACCGGCUAACUUCGUG
rnacentral:rRNA from 1 species